AUUGAACGCUGGCGGCAUGCCUUACACAUGCAUGUCGAACGGCAGCACGGACUUCGGUCUGGUGGCGAGUGGCGAACGGGUGAGUAAUGUAUCGGAACGUACCUUUCAGUGGGGGAUAACGUAGCGAAAGUUACGCUAAUACCGCAUAUUCUGUGAGCAGGAAAGCAGGGGAUCGAAAGACCUUGCGCUGAUUGAGCGGCCGAUAUCAGAUUAGCUAGUUGGUGGGGUAAAGGCCUACCAAGGCGACGAUCUGUAGCGGGUCUGAGAGGAUGAUCCGCCACACUGGAACUGAGACACGGUCCAGACUCCUACGGGAGGCAGCAGUGGGGAAUUUUGGACAAUGGGGGCAACCCUGAUCCAGCCAUGCCGCGUGAGUGAAGAAGGCCUUCGGGUUGUAAAGCUCUUUCGGCCGGGAAGAAAUCGCAUAGGCUAAUACCCUGUGUGGAUGACGGUACCGGAAUAAGAAGCACCGGCUAACUACGUG
rnacentral:rRNA from 1 species